CCUCCAGCAGGCUCGCAAGCAAGCUUUCGUGAAGGUCUAUUGUCUUCUUGGUGUAGUAGUGUGAGUGGCUAUAAAUUUGGGAAGUGAGUGAGUGAGUUAGUGAGUGCGUGAGUGAAGGUGAAAAAAAAAAAAGUGAAAGGAGAUAGGUAGAAAAAAAGAAGGAAAAAAAAAAAAAGCUGAAGGAGUCGUGAGUGAAGAAGAAAGUGUAGUGAGUGAAAAAGAAAGGAAGUCAGAGGAUCUUUACUCACCAUUAUAAAGAUAAAGAAUACAAUGGAGACAAAUUGUUCCUGCGUAGAAACACUUCUCUUGCCGUCCUUUUUUCUUGGUCUCUUAUGUCUUCUUAAUCUUCUAAGUUCUUGAUCCUCUGGGUCUUCGGUUCCAACCGGAUGCUGUUUCUGAGGGGUGGGGAGGGUACCUGCAAAGGCACUCCGACGAUCAAGUGUUUAGAUUGCCACGUGUUUUCAGUGAAUUCCCCUUAUGUUAAGUCCUUCGGUCAAGUCUGAAGCCGACGGGGUAUUCGACCUGGCCUGAGGCCGAAAAGGUACUCGGCCUAGUCUGGGACCGAGGGGGUGUUCGGUUCGAUCUAUGGCCGCAGGGAGUUUUGGGUUUGGUUCCUGGCCGAAGGGGUACCCGGCUUGGUCCAUGGCCGAGAUGGUGUUCGUCUUUUGUGGUGACUGCUUGUGAUUGGGCCUAGGGGGGGUACUUGGUUUGAUUCCUGGCCGAAAGGGUAUCCGGUUUGGUUCCUGGCCGAAGGGGUACCCGGCUUGGUCAAUGGCCGAAAUGGUGUUCGGCUCUUGUCGUAUUCGGCCUUUGACCGAGUCAACGGGGGUGCCAACCCGUACACAAAUUAUGUACAUAAAAAUUAAAUCAAUGAAAAUGUAAUUACCCAAUAACUUUCAAUUGAAAAAUAAUGUUUCACAUAGCUAUCUC